GGGUUUUUCCUUAUGCAUUACAGUCAUUUAUGGCGUACACAUUUGGAAAGACUUUACAAUCUCUAUAGUGAUCGAAAACUAAAGGUUGCAUUAGAUCCAAAGCUAUUUCUAGGAGUGAAGUCAAUUGCAGAUGCUGUUGAAUAUCUCCACUCUGGUCAAAGCAUAGGCAAGGUGGUGGUCUGCAUUGAUCCAAGUUUCAGCCAAGUAAUUGCACGGUUGUAAGCAUGGGAAAUUGAACUAUUCUUGCAAAUAUGCAGAAUAAAUUGCAUGUUCACAGUAGUGCCUGCAGUAAUUAUUUUAUUUAUA